rnacentral:lncRNA from 1 species
CUCGAAUAAUACAACAACAAUAAAGUAUUACACAUGCUUAAUACAUACAACCAUAUUAGAGAAGGAAACGGACAAAAAUAAUAAAGCAUAAUGGUCGAAUUAAGAAGGCGGCUCGAUCUGACCUCCAACUAAAGGUAGAAUAAAAGUAAACUUAUCCCAUCCGAAGGUGGAGAGUAUUGAUGGAAAACAAACUCUCUUUAUAAACAAGGACCUCGACCCUCUCCCUCUUUCCCUGAAUUCCAAGAUUCUUGAUUUCUUGACUACUAGGAUCAUAAAGAAUGAGUUCGCUACUACUACUUUCUAGCAUGAAUUCUCCAUUCCAAAAGCCUAAUGGUCUCUCCACUUGAGAGAGAGGACCAAUACUUGAUAAUUUAAUCCAAGAAUCACCAUUUCCUCCUAAUUCCUUUGUGACCCAUAUGUCAAAAAAUUUAU